CAUCAUUCCUUAGACAGUCAAGGGGAGACCAGCAGAUAACAGAUCGUGCCAAGGGGAUCCUGGACAAACUGGCAGAAGCCAGCAAAAGAAUCUAUUCAAUACUGCCAAAAAUAUGUAAAGUUACAACAAUGUACCCAGAGGGGAAAAAAGCAAACUGAGGAUACUACAGUUGGACAACUGCAGCAAGCUCUGAUGCCAUAGAGAAGAGAGAGUGCACAAGCAGGCAG